AACGAACGCUGGCGGCAUGCCUAACACAUGCAAGUCGAACGAGACCUUCGGGUCUAGUGGCGCACGGGUGCGUAACGCGUGGGAAUCUGCCCUUCGGUUCGGAAUAACAGUUAGAAAUGACUGCUAAUACCGGAUGAUGACGUAAGUCCAAAGAUUUAUCGCCGAAGGAUGAGCCCGCGUAGGAUUAGGUAGUUGGUGGGGUAAUGGCCCACCAAGCCGACGAUCCUUAGCUGGUCUGAGAGGAUGAUCAGCCACACUGGGACUGAGACACGGCCCAGACUCCUACGGGAGGCAGCAGUGGGGAAUAUUGGACAAUGGGCGAAAGCCUGAUCCAGCAAUGCCGCGUGAGUGAUGAAGGCCUUAGGGUUGUAAAGCUCUUUUACCAGGGAUGAUAAUGACAGUACCUGGAGAAUAAGCUCCGGCUAACUCCGUGCCAGCCGCCGCCGUAA
rnacentral:rRNA from 1 species